UAGAGGUUUGAUCGAUUAGAUCUCCCUCCACCCCUUGUGAAAUUUUCUGUUGCUUCGGUGAGUCGAUCAGUAAAUGGCCCGCUGACUCUUGUGGGCGUGUACUCACCGAAGAUUUUUACAAACUCUUGUUUUUGAAUUGUCUGAGUGAUUUUAAAAAAUCA
rnacentral:misc_RNA from 1 species